rnacentral:rRNA from 1 species
CCUACGGGAGGCUGCAGUGAGGAAUAUUGGUCAAUGGACGAGAGUCUGAACCAGCCAAGUAGCGUGAAGGAUGACUGCCCUAUGGGUUGUAAACUUCUUUUAUAAAGGAAUAAAACGAGGCACGUGUGCCUUUUUGCAUGUACUUUAUGAAUAAGGAUCGGCUAACUCCGUGCCAGCAGCCGCGGUAAUACGGAGGAUCCGAGCGUUAGCCGGAUUUAUUGGGUUUAAAGGGAGCGUAGAUGGGUUGUUAAGUCAGUUGUGAAAGUUUGCGGCUCAACCGUAAAAUUGCAAUUGAUACUGGCAGUCUUGAGUACAGUUGAGGUAGGCGGAAUUCGUGGUGUAGCGGUGAAAUGCUUAGAUAUCACGAAGAACCCCGAUGGCGAAGGCAGCUUACUAAACUGUGACUGACAUUGAUGCUCGAAAGUGUGGGUAGCAAACAGGAUUAGAUACCCGAGUAGUC